rnacentral:tRNA from 1 species
GGAAUGGUCAUCAUUGGCAAGAUAAGACAGUUGCUAACUGUUAGGGUAAAACCUUGGGUGUUCGACUCACCUCUAUUCCG